rnacentral:rRNA from 1 species
UACGGAGGGGGCUAGCGUUGUUCGGAAUUACUGGGCGUAAAGCGCGCGUAGGCGGCUUUCUAAGUCAGAGGUGAAAGCCCGGGGCUCAACCCCGGAAUUGCCUUUGAGACUGGAUCGCUUGAACGUCGGAGAGGUGAGUGGAAUUCCGAGUGUAGAGGUGAAAUUCGUAGAUAUUCGGAAGAACACCAGUGGCGAAGGCGGCUCACUGGACGACUGUUGACGCUGAGGUGCGAAAGCGUGGGGAGCAAACAGG